rnacentral:tRNA from 1 species
GGAUAGCUCAGUUGGUUAGAGCAUGGUGCUGAUAAUGCCAAGGCUGCAAGUUUGAUCCCCAAAUGGGACAGCUGCA